UACGUAGGGGGCGAGCGUUGUCCGGAUUUAUUGGGCGUAAAGAGCGUGUAGGCGGCCAGGUAGGUCUGCUGUGAAAACUCGAGGCUCAACCUCGAGACGUCGGCGGAAACCAUCUGGCUAGAGUCCGGAAGAGGAGAGUGGAAUUCCUGGUGUAGCGGUGAAAUGCGCAGAUAUCAGGAGGAACACCGGUGGCGAAGGCGGCUCUCUGGACGGUGACUGACGCUGAGACGCGAAAGCGUGGGGAGCAAACAGG
rnacentral:rRNA from 1 species